rnacentral:rRNA from 1 species
AUUGAACGCUGGCGGCAGGCCUAACACAUGCAAGUCGAACGGUAACAGAAAGCAGCUUGCUGCUUUGCUGACGAGUGGCGGACGGGUGAGUAAUGUCUGGGAAACUGCCUGAUGGAGGGGGAUAACUACUGGAAACGGUAGCUAAUACCGCAUAACGUCGCAAGACCAAAGAGGGGGACCUUCGGGCCUCUUGCCAUCGGAUGUGCCCAGAUGGGAUUAGCUAGUAGGUGGGGUAACGGCUCACCUAGGCGGCGAUCCCUAGCUGGUCUGAGAGGAUGACCAGCCACACUGGAACUGAGACACGGUCCAGACUCCUACGGGAGGCAGCAGUGGGGAAUAUUGCACAAUGGGCGCAAGCCUGAUGCAGCCAUGCCGCGUGUAUGAAGAAGGCCUUCGGGUUGUAAAGUACUUUCAGCGGGGAGGAAGGGAGUAAAGUUAAUACCUUUGCUCAUUGACGUUACCCGCAGAAGAAGCACCGGCUAACUCCGUG